CGGGGAUCCGAAAAUCACCAAAAUACCGUAUUAGUACGCUUGCCUUUGGAUUUGUUUUAGUCUUUGCCUCUGGAAAGUAGGCCUACCUGUACUUGCCUCAGUUUGCAUCUUAAAUAGGCUACCAACACCAGAAGUGGAAUAUUUCUGUAGUAUCUAUCUUCAUUUCCGUAUGUCCGUAAUUGGGCCAAAUUUCCGUAGAAAGGGGUAGCAACUACGGACAAUCUGUAGCACUUGAGAAGUCUGUAAGCACACCAAUACUUAUCUGCUGUCUUAGGUAUACAGGCCUCAUGAAGCAAUUCUACCCUUGCAGCAUGCUGUUACAGUGAUAUGUGUACCUGACUUUUACAGAAAUCUGUGAGAGUAUACCAUCAAUGAUUGACACACACGGUAGACAGGUUUAUAUGAAAUAUCACCAACAAUAGAAUUUAACUGGAAUUAUUCCUAUCAAGUUGCAAGGAAAUUAAUAUGAGUGAAAGUCUAUUAUGCAAAGUUUUACUUUUGGGGGAGGAUUACAUUGGAAAGACAAGUUUACUUCAACGAUAUCAUUAUGAUAGAUUUCGUGUUCAAGUCCCAGCUGUAAGUAAUAUCUUAAGACUGUUUCCAUAUUCCUAAUACUGUAUGUAUUUAAAAAUCCUGAAUCUCUUGAUCAGUUGCGAUGUGGUUCACAUGAAUGGCUGAUAUUCCUCAGUUGGUUGUCUGGCUCAGACACCUACUUCAAAACUUUACAGUACUCACUUUAUAUUAAAUAAAUGUUUUUGAUGGUUUUUUUUUUUUUAUGAUAGUAUAGAAUUAUUUUGUUUAUAAAUUCCUAACUUCAAAUAAACAGGCCUACGAUUGUGCACAAACACUUUGUUAA